rnacentral:rRNA from 1 species
UGGGGAUUAUUGCACAAUGGGGGAAACCCUGAUGCAGCGACGCCGCGUGAACGAAGAAGGUAUUCGUAUCGUAAAGUUCUUUCCUAUGGGAAGAUAAUGACAGUACCAUAGAAGAAAGCUCCGGCUAAAUACGUGCCAGCAGCCGCGGUAAUACGUAUGGAGCGAGCGUUGUCCGGAAUUAUUGGGCGUAAAGGGUACGCAGGCGGUUUAAUAAGUCGAAUGUUAAAGAUCGGGGCUCAACCCCGCAAAGCAUUGGAAACUGAUAAACUUGAGUAGUGGAGAGGAAAGUGGAAUUCCUAGUGUAGUGGUGAAAUACGUAGAUAUUAGGAGGAAUACCAGUAGCGAAGGCGACUUUCUUGACACAAACUGACGCUGAGGUACGAAAACGUGGGGAGCAGACAGG